rnacentral:misc_RNA from 1 species
GAAAUGCGAUAAGUAGUGUGAAUUGCAGAAUUCAGUGAAUCAUCGAAUCUUUGAACGCACAUUGCGCCCCUUGGUAUUCCAUGGGGCAUGCCUGUUCGAGCGUCAUUUGUACCCUCAAGCUCUGCUUGGUGUUGGGUGUUUGUCCCGUCUCCGCGCGUGGACUCGCCCCAAAGUGAUUGGCAGCCGGCGUACUGGUCCCGGAGCGCAGCACAUGUCGCGCAAACGAGUGCCUUGGUACGGCGGCGUCCAUAAGCCCCUCUCUCACGCUCUUGACCUCGGAUCAGGUAGUGAUACCCGCUGAACUUAAGC